rnacentral:sRNA from 1 species
CUACCAAACCCUGUUUUCUUUGAUCAAGAAGAAGAAGAAGAAGACGAAGAAGAAGAAUAUGAUGAAGAAU